rnacentral:rRNA from 1 species
UACAGGGGGUGCAAACGUUGCUCGGAAUCAUUGGGCGUAAAGCGCACGUAGGCGGUUCGUUAUGUCGGAUGUGAAAGCCCUUGGCUUAACCGAGGAAGUGCAUCCGAAACUGGCGAGCUAGAGUACGAAAGAGGAUCGCGGAAUUCCCGGUGUAGAGGUGAAAUUCGUAGAUAUCGGGAGGAGCACCGGUGGCGAAGGCGGCGAUCUGGGUCGAUACUGACGCUGAGGUGCGAAAGCGUGGGGAGCAAACAGG